GUGCACGCUGGCGGUAGGCCUAACACCUGCCAGUCGCACGGCAGCACAGUAAGAGCUUGCUCUUACGGGUGGCGAGUGGCGGACGGGGGAGGAAUACAUCGGAAUCUACUUUUUCGUGGGGGAUAACGUAGGGAAACUUACGCUAAUACCGCAUACGACCUACGGGUGAAAGCAGGGGAUCUUCGGACCUUGCGCGAUUGAAUGAGCCGAUGUCGGAUUAGCUAGUUGGCGGGGUAAAGGCCCACCAAGGCGACGAUCCGUAGCUGGUCUGAGAGGAUGAUCAGCCACACUGGAACUGAGACACGGUCCAGACUCCUACGGGAGGCAGCAGUGGGGAAUAUUGGACAAUGGGCGCAAGCCUGAUCCAGCCAUACCGCGUGGGUGAAGAAGGCCUUCGGGUUGUAAAGCCCUUUUGUUGGGAAAGAAAAGCAGCAGGUUAAUACCCCGCUGUUCUGACGGUACCCAAAGAAUAAGCACCGGCUAACUUCGUG
rnacentral:rRNA from 1 species